rnacentral:snRNA from 1 species
AGCUUUGUGCAGUGGCAGUAUCGUAGCCAAUGAGGUUUAUCCGAGGCGUGAUUAUUGCUAAUUGAAAACUUUUCCCAAAGUAAAAUAUUGUCAUACUUCAUAACUUGGCUGGCUUACAUGGUUAAGU